GUGAAGACUACUAUGAUGAGCUGUCACAGCUCAAUAAAAUCUCAGUCAAUUAAUUUUUUCAUUAUCUUAGUAUUACAUCAACAAAACAGUGAGGGAAACGUCUGUUCAUCAAGGCAAACUUGUGAAUUGCGUCUUCUACCGAGUACUUCGUCUGCCCGGAGACGCAGGCCUCAAUGUCUUCCGAAUUCAAAUGGCUCUGCAGGAAGAGGUGAAGGCAGCUGUCCGAGAGCAGAAGCGCGUUCUGUAGGACCCUGGGCAAAAGAAACAAGGAGACAUCCUCAGUGAACAGGGGUGGACAAUUCGAGGGCAGGAGAGAGGAGAAACGUUAGAAAUGUGCCACCGCAAUAAUUUCUCUACUAUGGCAAACUUUGCAUCAAUUACAGACUCUGCCUAUUAAAAGGAUGAAAGCAUAUGUUAACUUUUAUUCAAUUAUUUGGAAAUUUAGGUGAGUAAAACCACGAAGCUAAUAGUUAACAACAUCUGUUAAAAGAAUAACAUCAAGGACGUUUCUUCAAUUUAACCAUCUGUUAUGACCGUGUGGAUUAAUUAUGGAAAGAUUCUGCUGAUAGUCCUAGAAAUUUAUUCUACUUAAAAAAAAUUUUUUACUGCCAACCAGCAUGUCUGUUCUGUGAUCUUUAUUGGCUAGGCUGUCAUCAAACAUCAAAACUUUCCACUGCCAUUAAAAAUUAUAUUAAAAAGUCAA